UUGCAUUGAAACUAGUUGAUUCAAUCUGAUUUACACGAUAAAACAAAAAUCAAAAUAACAACCAAAAAAAUUAGUUACAAUAUCUUAUAACAAAUAGGAGGUGCAAUGCUCAAUGGGCCCAACGUAAAUAAGAAAAGCCCAAUACUCACUCUAAAUCUAAUUUUACAAUAAUAACACAUAAUAAAACAUUAAAAAUAGAAUAAAUAAAUGGCAUAUAAUAAAUAUAAAAAAUUAAAGAAAUUAAAGAAAUAAAAU
rnacentral:lncRNA from 1 species